AUGGUCCAGAUACUGUCCCUGAUCCACAACAAAGAUGGAAGUCUGAGUAGCAUGCCCUACAUACCAGCAGACGUCACAAACCUAAAGGCAAAGUACCGUAGAGAGAGCAGGUUGGUUGACAUAGAAGACACGAUCGCCUACUUUGAAGAGAAAGCAAAAGUAGAUCCUGAUUUCUUCUACAGGAUAAGAUUGGGCGAUGAGGAUCGUGUCAGAAACAUGUAUUGGGUGGAUGGCAUAGAGGAGGUCUUUCCAUUGGUAGCGCACAUGCACUACAGGUGGCAUAUUAUUAAGAAGGAUGAAGAGACGCUAGGACCAUUCUUUGCUGACCGUCCAGAGCUACACAAGGCAUUCGAGUUGUGUGUGGACCACAGAUUGACAAUGGAAGAGUUUGAACGGAGCUGGACGGCUAUGAUUGAAAAAUACCAAGUCCAAGACAACGAGACACUUAAUAACCUGUGGGAGAAGCAGAUGUACUGGGUGCCUGGCUUCUUCAUGCACUGCUUCUAUCCAUUUCUGCACACUGCGCAACACAGUGAGGGUUUCAAUGCUGUUUUGAAGCAUUAUAUGUGA
rnacentral:rRNA from 1 species